AGAGCUGAGCCAGGCGAGCGGACGGGGAGGAGCGAGCUCGGCAGCAGCCGAGGCUAGAGGAGCCGCUCGGAUUUCCAGGCAGGUGGAAAACCGCGGCAGGACCUCCCGCGCCCUCUCUGGGUAGGAGGCGCGGCUCAGCCCUGUCCAGAGCGCAGAGGCGGCUCAGCUCGUAGCUUUUUCACCGGUGCGUGUGCAGGAGCGGCGGCCGAAAUCUGUGCAUCAGGGGAAGGAUGACUCGGAGAGGAUGGGGACAGACUAAAUGGCUUUCACUCCAAGACAGACUGGGUGCAGUCUGGUCAGGAUCGCCCCUCCCAGGCGUGCGGGGCCUCCUUGCCCUUCCCGGCUGCGCCCUCCAGCCCUGAGCGCAACCCGCAUGGCUCAACUCUCUGGGCCCAAGCAAGGACCCAGGCGGAGCUGGGAAGGACAGGUGGCAAGCCCCUGAGCCAGGGAUAAGCACCCUCCGGGGGAGAGGGGCUCGGGAUGAACGAAUCAAAGAAGGUCGGGGGUAAGAGGGGACAGCCGAACAAGGCCGAGGCUAUGGCGUGUCCUGGAAGGUCUUUCCUUGGAAGUCCCCC
rnacentral:lncRNA from 1 species